GAUGAACGCUGGCGGCGUGCUUAACACAUGCAAGUCGAACGGUGAAGCCCAGCUUGCUGGGUGGAUCAGUGGCGAACGGGUGAGUAACACGUGAGCAAUCUGCCCCUGACUCUGGGAUAAGCGCUGGAAACGGCGUCUAAUACUGGAUACGAACCGUGGAGGCAUCUUCAACGGUUGGAAAGAUUUUUUGGUCAGGGAUGAGCUCGCGGCCUAUCAGCUUGUUGGUGAGGUAAUGGCUCACCAAGGCGUCGACGGGUAGCCGGCCUGAGAGGGUGACCGGCCACACUGGGACUGAGACACGGCCCAGACUCCUACGGGAGGCAGCAGUGGGGAAUAUUGCACAAUGGGCGAAAGCCUGAUGCAGCAACGCCGCGUGAGGGAUGACGGCCUUCGGGUUGUAAACCUCUUUUAGCAGGGAAGAAGCGAAAGUGACGGUACCUGCAGAAAAAGCGCCGGCUAACUACGUGCCAGCAGCCGCGGUAAUACGUAGGGCGCAAGCGUUAUCCGGAAUUAUUGGGCGUAAAGAGCUCGUAGGCGGUUUGUCGCGUCUGCUGUGAAAUCCCGAGGCUCAACUUCGGGUCUGCAGUGGGUACGGGCAGACUAGAGUGCGGUAGGGGAGAUUGGAAUUCCUGGUGUAGCGGUGGAAUGCGCAGAUAUCAGGAGGAACACCGAUGGCGAAGGCAGAUCUCUGGGCCGUAACUGACGCUGAGGAGCGAAAGGGUGGGGAGCAAACAGGCUUAGAUACCCUGGUAGUCCACCCCGUAAACGUUGGGAACUAGUUGUGGGGUCCAUUCCACGGAUUCCGUGACGCAGCUAACGCAUUAAGUUCCCCGCCUGGGGAGUACGGCCGCAAGGCUAAAACUCAAAGGAAUUGACGGGGACCCGCACAAGCGGCGGAGCAUGCGGAUUAAUUCGAUGCAACGCGAAGAACCUUACCAAGGCUUGACAUAUACGAGAACGCUGCAGAAAUGUAGAACUCUUUGGACACUCGUAAACAGGUGGUGCAUGGUUGUCGUCAGCUCGUGUCGUGAGAUGUUGGGUUAAGUCCCGCAACGAGCGCAACCCUCGUUCUAUGUUGCCAGCACGUAAUGGUGGGAACUCAUGGGAUACUGCCGGGGUYAACUCGGAGGAAGGUGGGGAUGACGUCAAAUCAUCAUGCCCCUUAUGUCUUGGGCUUCACGCAUGCUACAAUGGCCGGUACAAAGGGCUGCAAUACCGURAGGUGGAGCGAAUCCCAAAAAGCCGGUCCCAGUUCGGAUUGAGGUCUGCAACUCGACCUCAUGAAGUCGGAGUCGCUAGUAAUCGCAGAUCAGCAACGCUGCGGUGAAUACGUUCCCGGGUCUUGUACACACCGCCCGUCAAGUCAUGAAAGUCGGUAACACCUGAAGCCGGUGGCCCAACCCUUGUGGAGGGAGCCGUCGAAGGUGG
rnacentral:rRNA from 1 species